UGACCCAAUGGAAAGUAUCUUUCUCUCUCCAAUCUCUCACAUAUCUCUAAGGUAAAGAUCUGCUAUGCAUCUCUCUCACGUCUCUCUAAAACUCUAUACUACCCACCUAUGAGUUAUUCUCCAUGCCUCUUCUAUCUCACAAGAUCAAUCAAAAUUAAAAACCAAGAUCGGCGUGGAUCUCCGUCCGUCAUGCUGCUGCUAUACACGCUUCGAUCUUUUGGCAUGUCGAUCAUGCUUGGUCGUCAUGGGAUGAUUCAGGUGAUCCACCAACUAAUCCCUCUCUGCCGCCAUCAUACUUUUCUUGAUGGCCUAUUCCACGUUCCAUAAGUUCAAUUCGAUUCCAUGAAUCCACUUUACUCCUUUUUACAUAUCUCUCCUUUGAAAUCCAUCGUUGAAGGAGGCAGACAAGACAUAUUCUAUAUUUAUUACGUGGAAUCCAGGUAAUCAAAAUCGACGGUCUGUCAGAUCUAAUACCUACUCCGUAAUAGGUAAAGAGACGGGGCACCUGUUUCAAUUCCUACUGAUCUGAAUCUCACAAAGCCUCGGCAUGAGUAGAACUGAUCUUCCCAUCCUCAAGUCCACUACAUCUGGCGGCCCUUCCUGAAAUUCUAAAUCGAUCAUGCCGUCAAUUUAGCCAAUAAUUAUCUCUCCCGAUCCCGACAACGAUGAGGCGUAUCUCCAAAGUGUUCUUUUUCUGAGGGCAACAUCUCAAGAGUUUGGCGUACGCUGCUACAUGGGGAGAAACUAACCUGCUUUUCCACUGCAUUGUUUUGUGUAAGAUGCUGUUUGCCCAGCCUCUGCCUGCGAUUCCAGCUGAUGUACAAGGACUCUCCAUUGAGAAGCCAGGCUAGGGAAAAGUGUAAUCACACUGGCCUACAUGUCCUGUAGACUGAACUUAUAUAUUGUGCAUCUCAAAAUAACUAUCAGCUAUAUCCUGAGUGCCGAAUACUUUUAGUUGUAUGUAGAAAAUGCUGAAGCAAUAUAAUCUUCACGGAUAUCCAUGUGUGUUUGAAGCACGGAGAGAGAGGAGACCUGGAAACUAAAUGGACCCUCAAAUGGCCGGUACAAGACAGUUUAUGGUAUUUUACUAAACCCCAAAGUUCCGCCUCUAUAACUGUAGGGAAUUAAUGGAGUUAUUCCUGCCAACUUAAAAUGAUGGAUAUUUUGCCUCUCAACUGAGAACGUAUGUAUAUGUAUCUUAUGACCUACUCCGUCUACCAAAUUAUUCUUCAAUAGUUUGCACUUUAAUGGGCUGUGUUUGAUUAUUGGUAAGAGCUUGGCCUUAAAAUUUCUGCAGAUUCUAUGUCGAAGUUUAUCAUAUUUUAUUAUGAGAACAGUAGAUUGACAUAACAAUUAUUGUGCAUGGUGAUAUUGGUUAAUAUGCAUCUGACUUUGCACAUUGUACUAAAUCAAUACAUGCAAACUUAAGCACUUCACCGUCAAUCUUUCCAUACUUGCAUGGUAAUUAAUACCGACCAUGUAACAUUUGGCAGUCUAUUAUGUUUCUUCAACAGGUGGUAAUAACAUUUUUGUCGUCUUACUAUUUUGUAGUGUGAGAAAGCAGUCAAAAGUGUGGCCCUUAAAUUUAAAGAGAGGCGAUGGCAGGUGGGACUACAUACCUGGGUUCUAUAAUAGGAUUUAAAAUGGUUAAAGAGUCCAGAUAAAUAUUUUGGGUAUAUUAUUUGUUCCUUUUGUUUCUUAUUUCCACUGUCUGCAUUUUUAUGUAUUCUUAAUCUAAAGAAGUAAAGAUCAAAUAUAUUGUGUUUUGUUUUUUUA
rnacentral:lncRNA from 1 species